GUGACAAUUUUGGUGGAGAAUGCGGGCAAGAUUCAUCUGAAGCUUUAACGUUAGUAAGAAAAAAAGGAUUUCGUUAGGCCAGACUGUGAGACUACAAAGCAUUGCUGGUGCUGGUGUGACCUUCAUAGAUUAGAUUAUAGCCUGGGCAGUCCGCCAAACUCCAGACACUGUACCGAGUGGUUCCCGUUUGUUUUUUUUUUUUUUUCCCUCCUUCUCUUUAUUCCCCCUUACGUUAGCAGUUAUCAACUAUGAGGUUGCUCUGUAUUGUCAAAGCACUGUAUAAGGGAUUAAAAGCUAUCAUCUAGAGAUGCAAGAAGGAGUCAAAAGUGUUUUAUUUAUGAUGUGAGAGACUUAACAUAUGGUAUAGCAAGCAGAAAAAAACUAAUAACAGUGAAAACAACAAACAAGAGGAGAUCAAGAGGUUAAGGAGUAAGGGAGGGGAAGAGAAUGAGCAUAUGGGAGAUGAAGAGCUGAGAGAAAGAGAAGGCAGGCAGAAAACGGGAUUUGAAAAGAAAAGAAGAAACACGUCUGCAUCUGUGAUGAGGGAGAAGCAGAAGGUGAUGAGGAGAUGGGUGGAAUCAUAGGAUUAGGAUAACAUUGAGGUAGUGCAGCUGUGCAGUCAGACUGACAGCAGAACUGAAAAAGUGGAGAAUUGAGUGGUAAUGAGGUGAAUGUAAUUGGCUGUUUCAGAUAAAAUAAAAAUAAUGGUCUUCAUACCCUUUAAUUUCAAACCUCUCCUCUUACAGUUACAAAGGCCCAUAUGAGAAGGGUCGUCCUUCAGGACAGAACGGAUUCUUCAUGACAGUACCAGAUCAGAAUUAAACAGCUUCUUAAAAGGCCACAUUAUAUGAUAAUGAGCAGAUUUACAGUAUUCGUGAAAUUAUAGAAAACUCUGAAAUUUGCAUGCAUAUUUUUAUGACAUGCAUAUUUUAGUCACCAAGAUAUUUUGUGAAGUGUAAGCUUAGCCUGAAUGAAAGCAAUAGAAACAUUUCCAGUAAAAUAUUUCCAGUUGAAUACUGUGAUAUUUCCCCACAUGGAAGACCCAGCCCUCUCUUUCCAUAGCACAGUGUUCCUUAGUGAGGUCUGAGAGUCCUACAGCAUACACGUGCAGCAGCUGCAAGACUAA
ensembl:lncRNA